rnacentral:rRNA from 1 species
AUGCGUAGGUGGCAAGCGUUGUCCGGAAUUAUUGGGCGUAAAGCGCGCGCAGGCGGUUCCUUAAGUCUGAUGUGAAAGCCCCCGGCUCAACCGGGGAGGGUCAUUGGAAACUGGGGAACUUGAGUGCAGAAGAGGAGAGCGGAAUUCCACGUGUAGCGGUGAAAUGCGUAGAGAUGUGGAGGAACACCAGUGGCGAAGGCGGCUCUCUGGUCUGUAACUGACGCUGAGGCGCGAAAGCGUGGGGAGCGAACAGGAUUGGAUACCCUGGUAGUCCACGCCGUAAACGAUGAGUGCUAAGUGUUAGAGGGUUUCCGCCCUUUAGUGCUGCAGCAAACGCAUUAAGCACUCCGCCUGGGGAGUACGGCCGCAAGGCUGAA